UACGUAGGGUGCAAGCGUUAUCCGGAAUUAUUGGGCGUAAAGAGCUCGUAGGCGGUUUGUCGCGUCUGCUGUGAAAACUGGAGGCUCAACCUCCAGCCUGCAGUGGGUACGGGCAGACUAGAGUGCGGUAGGGGAGAUUGGAAUUCCUGGUGUGGCGGUGGAAUGCUCAAAUAUCAGGAGGAACACCGAUGGCGAAGGCAGAUCUCUGGGCCGUAACUGACGCUGAGGAGCGAAAGCUAGGGGAGCAAACGGG
rnacentral:rRNA from 1 species